rnacentral:rRNA from 1 species
GAUGAACGCUGCGGCGUGCCUAAUACAUGCAAGUAGAACGCUGAAGGAGGAGCUUGCUCUUCUGGAAGAGUUGCGAACGGGUGAGUAACGCGUAGGUAACCUGCCUCUUAGCGGGGGAUAACUAUUGGAAACGAUAGCUAAUACCGCAUAAAAGUCGACAUUGCAUGAUGUUGACUUGAAAGGUGCAACUGCAUCACUAAGAGAUGGACCUGCGUUGUAUUAGCUAGUUGGUGAGGUAACGGCUCACCAAGGCGACGAUACAUAGCCGACCUGAGAGGGUGAUCGGCCACACUGGGACUGAGACACGGCCCAGACUCCUACGGAGGCAGCAGUAGGGAAUCUUCGGCAAUGGGGGCAACCCUGACCGAGCAACGCCGCGUGAGUGAAGAAGGUUUUCGGAUCGUAAAGCUCUGUUGUAAGAGAAGAACGAGUGUGAGAGUGGAAAGUUCACGCUGUGACGGUAUCUUA